rnacentral:misc_RNA from 1 species
CCAUAAAUUAAGGUAAAAUCUCAUCAAUUCUAUUUCUAACACUCCCCCUUGUCCCUUGAUGAGAGUUUUGUUGAUGUUAUGGAUCCAUCAUCAAGCUUCCUUUUUUGUUUUUAAUGGGAAAAAUAGCUUUGGGACUUAAAUCAUAGGCUAUAAUGAAGAAGAAAGAGAAUUUGGCAAAAAAAUAGCUUUGGAACUCAAACCCUAGGCUAAAAUGAGGAAGAAUGAGAAUAUGAGAGAAAAAUGGCUCUAGGACUCAAAACCUAGGCACUAAUGAAGGAGAAGAAGAAAGUAGGGACUUCAACCCUUGGCUUGCAAAUCAAGAAGAAAAAGAAGAAGGGGAAGAUGAAUAGUUUGGGAAAACCCAUAGCUUUUGGGACCCAAACUCAUAGCUUUGUGAAGGACGACAAAAAGAAAAAAAGAAACCAUAGAAUUUUUUGCAGGCUCUGAUGGAAUGUAGAGAAAAUGGAUCAAGCCUAAUUUUAGUCUAAAAGCUAGCUCAAAGGGAAGAGGUAUGCCCAAAUCUUAUAUUUAACUUAAAUUUCUUGUCUCAAACUAAUGUGGGACAACAUACUCUCCCUCACGCUUAGAUAUGUACAUCUGGAGUGUGAAGUUUACAAGCAUGAAUAUUUAUGGGUUGCCCAACAUUAAAACAGGGUGGGCUCUGAUAUCAUGUUAAAAUUUAGAAGAAGAAGAAGAAGA